AGUGAAUUGGCAGAUUAUUGCAUUAAGUUUAGAUUUUAAUUAAGUAUAGUUUUAUACAUUCACUA
rnacentral:tRNA from 1 species